GCCGGGGUAGGGUAGACUGGUCAUCCUAUGGGACUGUGGAUCCCACGACUCGGGUUCGAAUCCCGGCUCCGGCC
rnacentral:tRNA from 1 species